GACGUAGGAGGCGAGCGUUAUCCGGAUUCACUGGGCGUAAAGCGCAUGUAGGCGGUUAGAUAAGUCGUGUGUUAAAGCCCCCGGCUCAACUGGGGGGAGGUCAUGCGAGACUAUUUGACUUGAGGGCAGCAGAGGAGCAUGGAACUCCCGGUGUAGCGGUGGAAUGCGUAGAUAUCGGGAAGAACACCAGUGGCGAAGGCGGUGCUCUGGGCUGCAACUGACGCUGAGAUGCGAAAGCGUGGGGAGCAAACAGG
rnacentral:rRNA from 1 species